rnacentral:rRNA from 1 species
UAGGGAAUCUUCCGCAAUGGGCGAAAGCCUGACGGAGCAACGCCGCGUGAGUGAUGAAGGUCUUCGGAUCGUAAAACUCUGUUAUUAGGGAAGAACAAAUGUGUAAGUAACUAUGCACGUCUUGACGGUACCUAAUCAGAAAGCCACGGCUAACUACGUGCCAGCAGCCGCGGUAAUACGUAGGUGGCAAGCGUUAUCCGGAAUUAUUGGGCGUAAAGCGCGCGUAGGCGGUUUUUUAAGUCUGAUGUGAAAGCCCACGGCUCAACCGUGGAGAGUCAUUGGAAACUGGAAAACUUGAGUGCAGAAGAGGAAAGUGGAAUUCCAUGUGUAGCGGUGAAAUGCGCAGAGAUAUGGGGGAACACCAGUGGCGAAGUCGACUUUCUGGUCUGUAACUGACGCUGAUGUGCGAAAGCGUGGGGAUCAAACAGG